rnacentral:rRNA from 1 species
AGACCGCCAGCUAAGGUCCCAAAGUCAUGGUUAAGUGGGAAACGAUGUGGGAAGGCCCAGACAGCCAGGAUGUUGGCUUAGAAGCAGCCAUCAUUUAAAGAAAGCGUAAUAGCUCACUGGUCGAGUCGGCCUGCGCGGAAGAUGUAACGGGGCUAAACCAUGCACCGAAGCUGCGGCAGCGACACUAUGUGUUGUUGGGUAGGGGAGCGUUCUGUAAGCCUGUGAAGGUGUACUGUGAGGUAUGCUGGAGGUAUCAGAAGUGCGAAUGCUGACAUAAGUAACGAUAAAGCGGGUGAAAAGCCCGCUCGCCGGAAGACCAAGGGUUCCUGUCCAACGUUAAUCGGGGCAGGGUGAGUCGACCCCUAAGGCGAGGCCGAAAGGCGUAGUCGAUGGGAAACAGGUUAAUAUUCCUGUACUUGGUGUUACUGCGAAGGGGGGACGGAGAAGGCUAUGUUGGCCGGGCGACGGUUGUCCCGGUUUAAGCGUGUAGGCUGAUUUUCCAGGCAAAUCCGGAAAAUCAAGGCUGAGGCGUGAUGACGAGGCACUACGGUGCUGAAGCAACAAAUGCCCUGCUUCCAGGAAAAGCCUCUAAGCAUCAGGUAACAUCAAAUCGUACCCCAAACCGACACAGGUGGUCAGGUAGAGAAUACCAAGGCGCUUGAGAGAACUCGGGUGAAGGAACUAGGCAAAAUGGUGCCGUAACUUCGGGAGAAGGCACGCUGAUAUGUAGGUGAAGCGACUUGCUCGUGGAGCUGAAAUCAGUCGAAGAUACCAGCUGGCUGCAACUGUUUAUUAAAAACACAGCACUGUGCAAACACGAAAGUGGACGUAUACGGUGUGACGCCUGCCCGGUGCCGGAAGGUUAAUUGAUGGGGUUAGCGGUAACGCGAAGCUCUUGAUCGAAGCCCCGGUAAACGGCGGCCGUAACUAUAACGGUCCUAAGGUAGCGAAAUUCCUUGUCGGGUAAGUUCCGACCUGCACGAAUGGCGUAAUGAUGGCCAGGCUGUCUCCACCCGAGACUCAGUGAAAUUGAACUCGCUGUGAAGAUGCAGUGUACCCGCGGCAAGACGGAAAGACCCCGUGAACCUUUACUAUAGCUUGACACUGAACAUUGAGCCUUGAUGUGUAGGAUAGGUGGGAGGCUUUGAAGUGUGGACGCCAGUCUGCAUGGAGCCGACCUUGAAAUACCACCCUUUAAUGUUUGAUGUUCUAACGUUGGCCCGUUAUCCGGGUUGCGGACAGUGUCUGGUGGGUAGUUUGACUGGGGCGGUCUCCUCCUAAAGAGUAACGGAGGAGCACGAAGGUUGGCUAAUCCUGGUCGGACAUCAGGAGGUUAGUGCAAUGGCAUAAGCCAGCUUGACUGCGAGCGUGACGG